rnacentral:rRNA from 1 species
AACUCGCCUACAUGAAGUCGGAAUCGCUAGUAAUCGCGGAUCAGCAUGCCGCGGUGAAUACGUUCCGGGCCUUGUACACACCGCCCGUCACACCAUGAGAGUUUGUAACACCCAAAGCCGGUGGGGUAACCUUUUGGAGCCAGCCGUCUAAGGUGGGACAGAUGAUUGGGGUGAAGUCGUAACAAGGUACC